rnacentral:rRNA from 1 species
UACGAAGGUGGCAAGCGUUACUCGGAAUUACUAGGCGUAAAGGGCAGGUAGGUGGUUUGGUAAGUCUGUUGUGAAAGCUCCUUGCUUAACGGGGAGAGGUCAACAGAUACUGCCAGGCUUGAGUAUGGGAGAGGGUACUGGAAUUCCUGGUGUAGCGGUGAAAUGCGCAGAGAUCAGGAGGAACACCGAUGGCGAAAGCAGGUACCUGGACCAUUACUGACACUCAGCUGCGAAAGCUAGGGGAGCAAACAGG